UCAUGAAAGCAACAUUUAACAACUAUCGCGAUGCUCGUCUGGCACUACCACGCCUGCAGUACACAUCAGAGUUGGAGAGCACUGGGGGAGGAAAGAGAAAGGUGACAAAGCCCACCAGAUAUGAACCUGAACACAACAGGCAGCCACCGCGCCCACCAAGCACAUUUCCUGGGCCAUCUGUGGCCAGCCAUGAAGAACCACGAAGUGAAGACAGCGAAGGUAACCAUUUGAGGUUUUUCGAUCACAUGUCACAUAAAUUUUUUGUUUUCU